rnacentral:tRNA from 1 species
UGUUCAGUGGCUUAGUUGGUAACAGCACCGCGCUAGUUAGCGAUACGGAGUCGUGGGUUCGAAUCCCACCAAAGCUA